UGCCGGUAUUUAAGUUCAUGAAUGAAAAGGUUAAAAUGUAACUGAUACAGGCAGUAUUUGUAUUAUUCGCUUCUUGAGGCGGAACUAAUGUGCUUUGUUCGUAGCCCCGGGGGCCAAGAUCACUGUGACACUGCAAACGGCAGGUGCACGGUGCGCGUUUUGUCACCAAAGCUAUAAAACUUGUAAUGCACAUCAAAACCUCUUUUUACGGCAAGCGGCCAACGAGGUAUGUUUAUAUUAAUGUCGACACUGAGCGUCAUUUUGUGUUCGCUAUAUGUGUAUAAUGUGCUGCGAUAUGUAUGGAAAUGUUUUGUACUGUGUUUUUACAUACUUUCAGUUCUCACGGCGUAACGUGUAAAGCGUGAUGGUGUUGAUAAGAUGGAGAGGGAGAGAGGAGACAUGCCACCGCAAUAAACGCCCGUUCAAAGGAACCGACCUGUGUCUUGUGUCGUCGUAAGAGGAGCUACAGUGAGAACUCGACUGCUCGGCGCGGGUAGGCGAGACGACGAGACCGCAGCUGUGUGACGACGUGACGGGAUCACUCGGCAUCGCAGCAGAGCGGAAAAGCAACGCACUUCAAUCACUGUCGCCAUAGCGGCGGCAAUAUAUGGAAGUUCUCACGGCGUAACGUGUAAAGCGUGAUGGUGUUGAUAAGAUGGAGAGGGAGAGAGGAGACAUGCCACCGCAAUAAACGCCCGUUCAAAGGAA